GUGACAGCCCACCCUGCAGCCACUCUCACAGCUGCACUGUAUGUUUAGUAGCCCCUCUCCAGGAAAGCACAUUGACAAAGUCUACACUACACUGAUCAGUCUUAACAUUGAAACCCCUGGAAGAUGAAAUAAUUCCACACUGGUCUCACCAUGGAGCUUGCAAUCUCUUUUUAAGUGCCUAAGCAGCAACUCACAUAGUUUAAAACCAUAUAAAAUAAAGCCAAAUGGAAGGAAACCAAGAAAGAAAGGACAAUUUACUAACUAGAAUAAACUCCAUCACCCACAAUGGGAUCAUUUUGGUUUUUUGCAGAUAAAGCAACACCACAUUCCCUUAACAAUCCAGAGCACUGAGCCUUAAAGAACUAGUAACCACAGACUGUCUUACCUUACAGAGAACCCAUACUGAUAGCAGUUGCAUCUCAGCACUGGUUGGCAAAAAAGUGGAGAAAAAUGGGGACAAGUUUGUGAUCCAGAACAGUAGCACUUUAUCAAGGCCCAAUUUUUCUCCAAUUACCUGUUCCGAACCUCCGGAUAUAUGGAUAGGGGCCAUAGAGCUGAAAACUGCACACAACCUCACAAAUCCUAAGCCUACCAUAGAGUUGUGUCUACCUGAUAGCACAACCCAGCAAGGAAGUGCCGUGAAAUGGCUUUUGCCCUGUUGCCUUCUGUGCUCGAGACCGUGGCUAUAUAAUGGAAGAUUUCAUACAGUAACCAUUUGGUAAAUGCCAUUGCUUUUUCUUACUACUUUGUUUUUAGACCAUAAUAAGGAUUUGUAAGUAUUGCUUUCUGUCAAGCAACUGAGCACGGGCACUGGCAAGAGGGCAAUAGAUGACAAAAAGGGGAAUUAAAAAACUGGUUGGCAUUAGCCAUUGAAAAUAAAAAGUUUAUAAAAAAUUGGCUAAAUACAAAAUGAAAGAAAGGUGU